AUGUUUCCACUACAGAUACAAGAAAAAAUUCUCUUCACACUUUCUGUCUGAUUGUAGCAGCCUGAGAUUGAAUAGAGGAAUACAGGG
rnacentral:snoRNA from 10 species